rnacentral:rRNA from 1 species
UAGGGAAUCUUGCGCAAUGGGCGAAAGCCUGACGCAGCCAUGCCGCGUGAAUGAUGAAGGUCUUAGGAUUGUAAAAUUCUUUCACCGGGGAAGAUAAUGACGGUACCCGGAGAAGAAGCCCCGGCUAACUUCGUGCCAGCAGCCGCGGUAAUACGAAGGGGGCUAGCGUUGCUCGGAAUUACUGGGCGUAAAGGGCGCGUAGGCGGAUAUCUAAGUUGGGGGUGAAAGCCCGGGGCUCAACCUCGGAAUAGCCUUCAAUACUGGAUAUCUUGAGUUCGGGAGAGGUGAGUGGAAUGCCGAGUGUAGAGGUGAAAUUCGUAGAUAUUCGGCGGAACACCAGUGGCGAAGGCGACUCACUGGCCCGAUACUGACGCUGAGGCGCGAAAGCGUGGGGAGCAAACAGGAUUAGAUACCCUGGUAGUCCACGCCGUAAAACGAUGAGUGCUAGUUGUCGGCAUGCAUGCAUGUCGGUGACGCAGCUAACGCAUUAAGCACUCCGCCUGGGGAGUACGGUCGCAAGAUUAAAAACUCAAAGGAAAUUGACGGGGGUCAUAGCUGUUUCCUG